rnacentral:rRNA from 1 species
UCCCACCCGUGUCUAUCGUACCUUGUUGCUUCGGCGGGCCCGCCGUUUCGACGGCCGCCGGGGAGGCCUUGCGCCCCCGGGCCCGCGCCCGCCGAAGACCCCAACAUGAACGCUGUUCUGAAAGUAUGCAGUCUGAGUUGAUUAUCGUAAUCAGUUAAAACUUUCAACAACGGAUCUCUUGGUUCCGGCAUCGAUGAAGAACGCAGCGAAAUGCGAUAAGUAAUGUGAAUUGCAGAAUUCAGUGAAUCAUCGAGUCUUUGAACGCACAUUGCGCCCCCUGGUAUUCCGGGGGGCAUGCCUGUCCGAGCGUCAUUGCUGCCCUCAAGCACGGCUUGUGUGUUGGGCCCCCGUCCCCCUCUCCCGGGGGACGGGCCCGAAAGGCAGCGGCGGCACCGCGUCCGGUCCUCGAGCGUAUGGGGCUUUGUCACCUGCUCUGUAGGCCCGGCCGGCGCCAGCCGACACCCAACUUUAUUUUUCUAAGGUUGACCUCGGAUCAGGUAGGGAUACCCGCUGAACUUAAGCAUAUCAAUA